CGUCUGAGAAGCUAGACACAGGUGAUUCGUAGCGUUUCCAUAUUGUAUUUUAUGCAUUUCGAGAGUAGUUAUUUGAUCUAUACUCAGUUACGAUGGCCCGAAUGUGUUGUAUGGCGAAUUGCAGGGGCAAUUACGAUAAUGGACCUAAAGUCAGUGUAUUUUAUUUUCCAUCUGACGAGAAUUUAAGACGGAAAUGGUUAUCGGCUGUUCACAGACGAGACUGGACACCGAAUAUGUGAACUGCAUAUCAACAAGGACGAUAUUUUAAGCAGUACCAGCAUGUAUGACCCCAAAACUGGUAUACUCUUGACAGCACCGUUGGAUCGUUGACGCUUGAGAAAAGAUGCUAUCCCAUCGAAGUUGCCUGGAUGCCCAUCUUACUUGUCGAGUCAUCAAACUGCAGUAUGAGAGGACCCAGAAAUUCGUAGGGGGCGUUUAGAAAAUCGUGCUCUUCAAAUUGCUAUCCAAGAAAGUCUGGACACACAUGCGAAAAUGAUUGAUGCGAUAUCGUUCGAUAGUUUAGUACAAAUGAAAACAAAGUUGAGUGAGUGUGAAAAGCACAGUGACUGGGUAGUGAUUAACAAAUCUGACAGUGUGAGCCUAGUGUUACUAAAUCAUAAUCCUUACCCAAGAAUUUUUUGCGAAGUAGUUAUAAGCAGUGGUUUAUUACUCAGUGUCUUCAAUAAUGAUAUUAAAGUGAAAUGUAUUGGAAACAUGAAAUUUCCCAUGAAAGUAAAUAACAUACAGGUGGUAAGUCAUGUUCAUAAGAACAUUUAUCUUCUGUAUAAUAGUUCUGAGGCUCCUGUAGAUAACAUUUUGUCUUUAAUUGACCAGUUAUUGCAAAAUUUAUUAGAGAAGUUG